rnacentral:miRNA from 1 species
AUAUGUAUGUGUGUAUGUAUAUGUAUAUAUAUGCAUAUAUAUAUAUCAUCAGCUACUUCCAGAAUAUUCUUGUCAUGCCAAAAAGAAA